rnacentral:rRNA from 1 species
CAGCAGCCGCGGUAAAACGUAGGUGGCAAGCGUUGUCCGGAAUUAUUGGGCGUAAAGGGCUCGCAGGCGGUUUCUUAAGUCUGAUGUGAAAGCCCCCGGCUCAACCGGGGAGGGUCAUUGGAAACUGGGAAACUUGAGUGCAGAAGAGGAGAGUGGAAUUCCACGUGUAGCGGUGAAAUGCGUAGAGAUGUGGAGGAACACCAGUGGCGAAGGCGACUCUCUGGUCUGUAACUGACGCUGAGGAGCGAAAGCGUGGGGAGCGAACAGGAUUAGAUACCCCCGUAGUCCCUGUCUCUUAUCC